GACGAACGCUGGCGGCGUGCCUAAUACAUGCAAGUCGAACGCCGUUGCGAACGUGUGAGUAACGCGUAUGUAACUUCCUCAUAGCGGGGGAUAACUCUUUGAAACGAUAGCUAAUACCGCAUCCUGUGCGAUGGACCUGCGUUGUAUUAGCUCGUUGGUGAGGUAAAGGCUCACCAAGGUGACGUUACAUAGCCGAUCUGAGAGGGCGACCGGCAACACUGGAACUGAGACACGGCCCAGAAGCCUACGGGAGGCAGCAGUGGGGAAUUUUGGACAAUGGGGGAAACCCUGAUCCAGCCAUCCCGCGUGUGCGAUGAAGGCCUUCGGGUUGUAAAGCACUUUUGGCAGGAAAGCGGUACCUGAAGAAUAAGCACCGGCUAACUACGUGCCAGCAGCCGCGGUAAUUA
rnacentral:rRNA from 1 species